GUAAAUCUUCCAUUCCCAAAGUCUGGAAUCCUCACUAUGAUGUUACAGCCAUGGUUACUGAUUAUCCAGUGUUUUGUAGCUAGGUCAAUUGUCAGCUUCCAGCCAGGGUUGCAUUACUUUUGUCUGAUUCUUAUUUACGUCAACAUUUUCUAGCCCAUUAAAUAUGGUCAUAUAGUCUUGUAGCCAAAGUCUACAGCAGGCAGAGGACUUGGCCAAGAGAAAUGAAAUUGAGGGGGCAUUCAGAGACCCAUAUUCAGAAGAUAUAGUCAAAUAAAGGCCAAACCAUUCCUAAAUGGAGCAGCAAGGAGAAACAGAGGCACAUCCUGGGGACCAGAAGUCUCAUCAAAUCACAACAGAGAUUCAGUCCAGAAUAUCCUGGUAAACCUUGGAACCGGGCCAACAGAAACUGCAGAAGGUUCAAAAAUAA